rnacentral:rRNA from 1 species
GAUGAACGCUGGCGGCGUGCCUAAUACAUGCAAGUCGAGCGAACAGAUGAGGAGCUUGCUCCUCUGACGUUAGCGGCGGACGGGUGAGUAACACGUGGAUAACCUACCUAUAAGACUGGGAUAACUUCGGGAAACCGGAGCUAAUACCGGAUAAUAUAUUGAACCGCAUGGUUCAAUAGUGAAAGACGGUUUUGCUGUCACUUAUAGCUGGAUCCGCGCCGCAUUAGCUAGUUGGUAAGGUAACGGCUUACCAAGGCAACGAUGCGUAGCCGACCUGAGAGGGGGAUCGGCCACACUGGAGCUGAGACACGGUCCAGACUCCUACGGGAGGCAGCAGUAGGGAAUCUUCCGCAAUGGGCGAAAGCCUUACGGAGCAACGCCGCGUGAGUGAUGAAGGUCUUCGGAUCGUAAAACUCUGUUAUUAGGGAAGAACAAAUGUGUAAGUAACUAUGCACGUCUUGACGGUACCUAAUCAGAAAGCCACGGCUAACUACGUG